AUUUUAAUAAGAUAAAAUGGCUUAAUAGAAAGUCUAUCUUACAAACAAUUUGCAUUAAAUGUCUAUGAAUCUUAAAAUAUUGAAGUUGCAUUAGUGUUAAAGUAUACCAGUGGUGGUUGCGACUGGACUCGAACCAGCGACCCCUACCA
rnacentral:antisense_RNA from 1 species